CUACGGGUUGCUGCAGUCGAGAAUCUUUCGCAAUGGGGGAAACCCUGACGAUGCGACGCCGCGUGCGGGAUGAAGGCUUUCGGGUCGUAAACCGCUUUCAGCAGGGACGAAGGAUUAAAGUUGAAUAAGCUUUGGUUUUGACUGUACCUGAAGAAGAAGCCACGGCUAACUCCGUGCCAGCAGCCGCGGUAACACGGAGGUGGCAAGCGUUGCUCGGAUUUAUUGGGUGUAAAGGGCAUGUAGGCGGUUACGUCAGUUCGGUGUGAAAUCCUCCGGCUCAACCGGAGAACUGCACUGAAUACUGCGUGACUCGAGUGUGUGAGAGGAGAGCGGAAUUCCCGGUGUAAGGGUGAAAUGCGUAGAUAUUAGGAGGAACACCAGUGGCGAAGGCGACUUGCUGGACUGUAAUUGACGCUGAGGCACGAAAGCGUGGGGAGCAAACAGGAUUAGAUACCCUAGUAGUC
rnacentral:rRNA from 1 species